rnacentral:lncRNA from 10 species
GAGGAGCAGGGAGAGGAGAGAGGUGGAGGAGCGAAGAGGGGAUGAAGAGUCUCAUAGGAGUCCUCAGUGAAAUGCAAGACAGCGCAGGUUCCUGACAGCAUCUCUCCAUCCAGGCCAAGGCAGACUGGCCGUCUCACAGCUGGAUGGGGACACAGAUCGAGUUCUGGCAACUGAAAUGUGAGUGGACUUAAAUGGGUCGCUUCUCAGCUAAGGCAAUGGUAGUUCCCUCUUCUGGUGCAUGGGCUGAGAGGGCCCCGUGUUCCAAGAGGCAUAGCCACUGGUUGGUGAG